GUAAAAUUAACAAUAUAAUUAAAACAAUUACGUAAAUUUUCUAAGAAAUUAUUAAAGCAGUUUUCAUCAAUUUUAUGCCAGGUGGUAUGUAAUAUACACGUGUAUAUCUGAAUUUAUCAACAACGAAUGGUAAAUAAAUACAACCCAGUUGCUUCGAUUGUUUUCUCCUCAAUUAACAGAAUCCGACCCUGUAAACUUGAGCAUCAGCUGUUUGGGGUUAGAAGAAUGCUAUUAAUAGAGAUCCAGUGUUGUUGUGAGCAGUAAUAAUCGUCCUCGGUCCUCGUUUCGUUUAUUUUUUCUGGGAAAAUGCUCUGUGAGUUCUUCAAAAUUAGGACAGGUUUUUCCACAAGUGAAAAGGGAAUUCACACACAAAUUGAGCUGUAGUCAUAAGGUCAAAAAGAAUGAGAAAUCAUGAAUGAGCAACAUUGUCUUUUCUAUUGCUUUUGACAAAUGGGAGGUGAAUGGUUGCCAGAAAUUGUCUAGAGUGUGUUCAGUCAGUUUUUUUAAGUCCCUUCGAUUUCCAAGCUUGUAAGAGAUUCCAUGCAAAAUAAAUAGAGAACACAUGUACUUGUAGAGCUAAUAGUAUGAAAGCAUACCAUAGAAGACCAUAUGGAUAAUCCUAAAACAAAAUAAAUUUGUUUCUUGUUAGUUUCGGGUAGAAAUAUUUAGAGAAAAUAAUGCAUACCUGCCAGAACUGAACAUUUUCAAGAGCUUCUUCGUCUUUAGCAGUCAAAUAAACAAGGACAUCUUUGAAGUAAUAAAUAAAAGCAUACAGAAGUG